UACGUAGGGUGCGAGCGUUGUCCGGAAUUAUUGGGCGUAAAGAGCUUGUAGGCGGUCUGUCGCGUCUGCUGUGAAAAUCCGGGGCUCAACCCCGGACUUGCAGUGGGUACGGGCAGACUAGAGUGUGGUAGGGGAGACUGGAAUUCCUGGUGUAGCGGUGGAAUGCGCAGAUAUCAGGAGGAACACCGAUAGCGAAGGCAGCUCGCUGGGACGGUACUGACGCUGAGGUGCGAAAGCGUGGGGAGCGAACAGA
rnacentral:rRNA from 1 species